rnacentral:rRNA from 1 species
UACAGAGGUGGCAAGCGUUGUUCGGAAUUACUGGGCGUAAAGGGCGCGUAGGCGGCCUUCUAAGUCAGACGUGAAAUCCCCAGGCUUAACUUGGGAACUGCGUCUGAUACUGGGAGGCUUGAGUGCGGGAGAGGGAUGUGGAAUUCCAGGUGUAGCGGUGAAAUGCGUAGAUAUCUGGAGGAACACCGGUGGCGAAAGCGCGUGACUGGGCCACAACUGACGCUGAGGAACGAAAGCCAGGGGAGCGAAAGGG